rnacentral:rRNA from 1 species
CCUACGGGAGGCAGCAGUGAGGAAUAUUGGACAAUGGGCGGGUGCCUGAUCCAGCCAUGCCGCGUGCAGGAAGACGGUCCUAUGGAUUGUAAACUGCUUUUGUACGGGAAGAACAAGGGGCACGUGUGCCCCUCUGACGGUACCGUAAGAAUAAGGAUCGGCUAACUCCGUGCCAGCAGCCGCGGUAAUACGGAGGAUCCGAGCKUUWUCCGGAAUCAUUGGGUUUAAAGGGUCCGUAGGCGGGCCAUUAAGUCAGGGGUGAAAGUCUGCGGCUCAACCGUAGAAUUGCCCUUGAUACUGGUGGUCUUGAGUUAUGGUGAAGUAACUAGAAUAUGUAGUGUAGCGGUGAAAUGCAUAGAUAUUACAUAGAAUACCGAUUGCGAAGGCAGGUUACUAACCAUAUACUGACGCUGAUGGACGAAAUGCGUGGGGAGCGAACAGGAUUAGAUACCCUGGUAGUCCACGCCGUAAACGAUGGAUACUAGCUGUCCGGAUGCAAAUCUGGGCGGCCAAGCG